UUUGAUUUGCUUAUGAAAUUAUAUGGCAAGGAAAUUAAAUUAAAUAAAUUAAACGCUUAAUAUAUUAGGGAAAUAGUACAUAAGACAAGGGCUAACUCUCAAUUAAUAUAAGGUUACGAGUCACAUGUCCAGUAACCCAAAUGUGCUUUUUCAAUGUUGGAAAUACCCAUUUCAGAACCAUCCCAAUAUAAGUAAUUUUUUGGGAAUAUUUGACCCACAUAAUGUGACUACAUGCCCCACUACUGGGCGGAAAAUUGUAUAUUUUUUGUAAUAUUAUCAACACAUUAAAUAUUCCCAAUACAAUAUGUAUAAACAUGCACAGUUGGAACUGCUAGCGUGCAUUAAAGAUGAAUAAAAUUGAAUCAUAACUAAAGAAUUCAAGCGUGAAAAUUAUAGCAUGGUGUCAUGUUAAAAGUGUGCUUAUGUGUACAUACGUGUAAUAUGUUUCACCCAGGCCAUGAUUCUGGUCUUCGGGCGGCCAGUGGUUAAACCACAGUAGCAGAAAGGUUAAUACACACAGCACAUGUUGCCUUCCACAACAGGUGGCACGAAGCACUCGACAGUUCUCAGCAUUCCUGCCUCUCUAUGCUGGUGGCCCCUGGUAUUCCAGGAUUUACGCUGCCUCCCUCCCUUCCCACUGCACAGGCCUGACUGACAAGCUAAUCGUUGGGCUGGGAUCCCCUCAGCUAUUGAUUCUACUGCAACACAACACCUACCAGUCAAUGAAACUGCAAUAUAAUGGUUGAGCUGCGAAGAAAAGGGGAGGAUUAGCGCGUCGAGCAACUGAAGGAAAUAGGCUGCCGCCGCCGCCUCCGCCGACCAGGCCUCACUCUUCCUCGCAGCUGCUGAUGAUGGCAAGUGAUCCAGGCCCUGAGGCAGCAGAGUAUGCCCAAAUCAUGACGUUUCCUCCACCGUACUUCACUGUUUGGAUGAUGCUUACUGUUGGAGAGCAGCGGCUUCCUCUGUGGUGUUCUGCUAUAGACACUGUGCCUGUUCAAAGACUUGCGUAUGGUAGACUCCUGAACAGAGAUGUGUGCCAGUUUCAAUGAUGUCUUCAAGCCUUUAGCUGUUACCGGUGGGCUCUUCUUUACUUCACUGAGUAUUCUGUGUUCUACCUUAGGAGUCAUCUUGGCUGUGCGCCCACUUCUAGGAAGGGUAGCUACAGUAUAAAACUGUCUCCUUUUUAACUGUAGAGUGAUGGAUGUCUAAACAUGGGUUU